GCAGUGGAUCUGGCGGCAGUGACCACUUCAAAUCGCAUCUCUCCCUUCUGAUCCAGCCUUCAAUCUCCAUUUACUGAAACGAAGACAACUAUUACGAUCUCGUUGGGUGAUUUUCUAUUACGAUCCUUUCCUCUACUCUACAUUGCAGUGAAUCAAUUUUAUUUCUCUGUUCUGGAUGUUUCGAAGUUACCAAGACUGGAUUUUUUGAGUUCUGUUUCCUAAACUGUGAGUGUGCGGCUGAUAGCAUUUUUGCGUUUUGAUUUGCAGUAAAACUCUAUUGAAGCCGACAAUACUUUGGAUAAAGCUAUUGAGAAACCGUAGAGAGAUUCAGCUGGAGCAGAUGCUCAAAGAAAUUGCCAAGCUUCUCGAAACUGGUCAGGAAGCCACUGCUCAGAUUCAGAGAGGAGAAAAUGAUGGCUGCCCAGGAGAUAAUUCAGCUAUUUUUUGAGCUCAUAAGUGUUCAUCUUCCAAUAAUUGAGGCACAAAGGGCUAGUUGUGGCAUUACUUGGAAAAGAAACUACUGCUGGUGAUUUUCUGGUUGAAGAUGUUCUAGAGGCUGGCCUAGCACAACAAAUAGAGCAACCACUUCAAUCAGGUAUAUCAUGACACAAAUGUGUAUUCUAAGGAUGGAAUAUAUGAGAUAAGGAGGGUAUGGAUAGACUAUUUUGUAAAUAAGUGCAUAUAAAUGUUUAUUAUGUGAUUUAGAUGGAAUUACAUUAUAUAUAUAAUGAUAGAUUAAUGUUAGGGUUA